UUGUUAUAUCUUUGUUCCAGAGUUUGCUACUAUUUCUUAAACGAAAUUUCGUCAACAUGAUUGUACUUGCUAUGCAGAUUUUCGUAGGAGCUAUGGAGAUGUUCAAAUGGCUUAACACAGAAGAACCAGCUACCGUUGGUAAUAAGACGAAAGAUGAGAAUCAUAACACAACUACCAUCAGCACUGAAGCCGAGCAGAACCUUCUUUCGACAUCCAGGGACACGAAUGACACGGGUGUCAAAUCUAAUUAAGAGAAGGCCAAUAAA